CUCUCAUUGUCAGAAGUGAUAUUCUUAAGGGAAUAUCUCCAGUACAGAGAGAAUAAAGGGGUUCAUCUCCCUGCCGACAAGGCAAAAAACUGAAUUGCUAUGAAAGCAUCUAGUAGGACACGAACGAUGCUACGCAUAG
rnacentral:ncRNA from 22 species